AAUAGAUACCCUGGUAGUCCACGCCGUAAACGAUGAGUGCUAAGUGUUAGAGGGUUUCCGCCCUUUAGUGCUGAAGUUAACGCAUUAAGCACUCCGCCUGGGGAGUACGGCCGCAAGGCUGAAACUCAAAGGAAUUGACGGGGGCCCGCACAAGCGGUGGAGCAUGUGGUUUAAUUCGAAGCAACGCGAAGAACCUUACCAGGUCUUGACAUCCUCUGACAACCCUAGAGAUAGGACUUCUCCUUCGGGAGCAGAGUGACAGGUGGUGCAUGGUUGUCGUCAGCUCGUGUCGUGAGAUGUUGGGUUAAGUCCCGCAACGAGCGCAACCCUUGAUCUUAGUUGCCAUCAUUUAGUUGGGCACUCGUAAGGUGACUGCCGGUGACAAACCGGNGGAAGUGGGGAUGACGUNAAUCAUCAUGCCCCUUAUGACCUGGGCUACACACGUGCUACAAUGACGGUCAAAGAGCUGCAAGACGCGAGGUGGAGCUAAUCUCAUAAAACCGUUCUCAGUUCGGA
rnacentral:rRNA from 1 species